rnacentral:rRNA from 1 species
GACAGAGGAUGCAAGCGUUAUCCGGAAUGAUUGGGCGUAAAGCGUCUGUAGGUGGCUUUUCAAGUCCGCCGUCAAAUCCCAGGGCUCAACCCUGGACAGGCGGUGGAAACUACCAAGCUGGAGUACGGUAGGGGAGACUGGAAUUCCUGGUGUAGCGGUGAAAUGCGCAGAUAUCAGGAGGAACACCGGUGGCGAAGGCGGGUCUCUGGGCCGAUACUGACGUGGAGGAGCGAAAGCGUGGGGAGCGAACAGG